UACGUAGGGUGCAAGCGUUGUCCGGAUUUACUGGGUGUAAAGGGUGCGUAGGUGGGCAGGUAAGUCAGUGGUGAAAUCUCCGAGCUUAACUCCGGAACUGCCAUUGAAACUGUUUAGCUUGAGGACGAGAGAGGUGAGUGGAAUUCCCAGUGUAGAGGUGAAAUUCGUAGAUAUUGGGAAGAACACCGGUGGCGAAGGCGGCUCACUGGCUCGUUUCUGACGCUCAGGCGCGACAGCGUGGGGAUCAAACAGG
rnacentral:rRNA from 1 species